GCCGGGGUGGUGAAAUUGGCAAACACGUAAGAUUCAGGAUCUUAUGCCCUCACGGGUUUAGGGGUUCAAGUCCCCUCCUCGGCA
rnacentral:tRNA from 1 species